UACGUAGGGGGCAAGCGUUGUCCGGAUUUAUUGGGCGUAAAGAGCGUGUAGGCGGCUAGGUAGGUCCGUUGUGAAAACUCGAGGCUCAACCUCGAGACGCCGAUGGAAACCAUCUAGCUAGAGUCCGGAAGAGGAGAGUGGGAUUCCUGGUGUAGCGGUGAAAUGCGCAGAUAUCAGGAAGAACACCCGUGGCUAAGGCGGCUCUCUAGUACGGUACUGACGCUGAGACGCGAAAGCGUGGGGAGCGAACAGG
rnacentral:rRNA from 1 species